GAUGAACGCUGGCGGCGUGCCUAAUACAUGCAAGUCGAGCGAACGGACGAGAAGCUUGCUUCUCUGAUGUUAGCGGCGGACGGGUGAGUAACACGUGGAUAACCUACCUAUAAGACUGGGAUAACUUCGGGAAACCGGAGCUAAUACCGGAUAAUAUUUUGAACCGCAUGGUUCAAAAGUGAAAGACGGUCUUGCUGUCACUUAUAGAUGGAUCCGCGCUGCAUUAGCUAGUUGGUAAGGUAACGGCUUACCAAGGCAACGAUGCAUAACCGACCUGAGAGGGUGAUCGGCCACACUGGAACUGAGACACGGUCCAGACUCCUACGGGAGGCAGCAGUAGGGAAUCUUCCGCAAUGGGCGAAAGCCUGACGGAGCAACGCCGCGUGAGUGAUGAAGGUCUUCGGAUCGUAAAACUCUGUUAUUAGGGAAGAACAUAUGUGUAAGUAACUGUGCACAUCUUGACGGUACCUAAUCAGAAAGCCACGGCUAACUACGUGCCAGCAGCCGCGGUAAUACGUAGGUGGCAAGCGUUAUCCGGAAUUAUUGGGCGUAAAGCGCGCGUAGGCGGUUUUUUAAGUCUGAUGUGAAAGCCCACGGCUCAACCGUGGAGGGUCAUUGGAAACUGGAAAACUUGAGUGCAGAAGAGGAAAGUGGAAUUCCAUGUGUAGCGGUGAAAUGCGCAGAGAUAUGGAGGAACACCAGUGGCGAAGGCGACUUUCUGGUCUGUAACUGACGCUGAUGUGCGAAAGCGUGGGGAUCAAACAGGAUUAGAUACCCUGGUAGUCCACGCCGUAAACGAUGAGUGCUAAGUGUUAGGGGGUUUCCGCCCCUUAGUGCUGCAGCUAACGCAUUAAGCACUCCGCCUGGGGAGUACGACCGCAAGGUUGAAACUCAAAGGAAUUGACGGGGACCCGCACAAGCGGUGGAGCAUGUGGUUUAAUUCGAAGCAACGCGAAGAACCUUACCAAAUCUUGACAUCCUUUGACAACUCUAGAGAUAGAGCCUUCCCCUUCGGGGGACAAAGUGACAGGUGGUGCAUGGUUGUCGUCAGCUCGUGUCGUGAGAUGUUGGGUUAAGUCCCGCAACGAGCGCAGCCCUUAAGCUUAGUUGCCAUCAUUAAGUUGGGCACUCUAAGUUGACUGCCGGUGACAAACCGGAGGAAGGUGGGGAUGACGUCAAAUCAUCAUGCCCCUUAUGAUUUGGGCUACACACGUACUACAAUGGACAAUACAAAGGGCAGCGAAACCGCGAGGUCAAGCAAAUCCCAUAAAGUUGUUCUCAGUUCGGAUUGUAGUCUGCAACUCGACUACAUGAAGCUGGAAUCGCUAGUAAUCGUAGAUCAGCAUGCUACGGUGAAUACGUUCCCGGGUCU
rnacentral:rRNA from 1 species